rnacentral:rRNA from 1 species
CCUAUCAACUUUCGAUGGUACUUUCUGCGCCUACCAUGGUGACCACGGGUAAUGGGGAAUUGGGGUUCGAUUCCG